rnacentral:rRNA from 1 species
CAGCCGCCGCGGGAAAACGAAGGGUGCAAGCGUUAAUCGGAAUUACUGGGCGUAAAGCGCACGCAGGCGGUUUGUUAAGUCAGAUGUGAAAUCCCCGAGCUUAACUUGGGAACUGCAUUUGAAACUGGCAAGCUAGAGUCUUGUAGAGGGGGGUAGAAUUCCAGGUGUAGCGGUGAAAUGCGUAGAGAUCUGGAGGAAUACCGGUGGCGAAGGCGGCCCCCUGGACAAAGACUGACGCUCAGGUGCGAAAGCGUGGGGAGCAAACAGGAUUAGAUACCCGUGUAGUCCCUGUCUCUUAUAC